rnacentral:rRNA from 1 species
AGCUCCAAUAGCAUAUACUAAAGUUGUUGCAGUUAAAAAGCUCGUAGUUGAAGUUAAGGGUUUAUCGGGCUAAAGUUAUUUGCCACUUUGUGGUUAAAUUCAACUCCGGUAUUCCUUUUCUUAAUAGUUCAGCUUCCAUUAUCUUUGAUAGUGGUUGUUUGGGCAUUUCACUGUGAGAAAAUUGUGGUGUUUAAAGCAGGCGUCUCGCCUGAUCUUUUGCAGCAUGGUAUGAUGAAACAUGACAUUUUACGCUAUUGGUUUGCGUCUAAAGUGUAAUGAUUAAUAGGGAUGGAUGGGGGUGUUCAUAUUGGUGGGCGAGAGGUGAAAUUCGUUGACCCUAUCAAGAUGAACUUCUGCGAAAGCAUUCACCAAAUACUUCCCCA